rnacentral:rRNA from 1 species
AACGAACGCUGGCGGCAGGCUUAACACAUGCAAGUCGAGCGCCCCGCAAGGGGAGCGGCAGACGGGUGAGUAACGCGUGGGAAACUACCCUUUGGUACGGAAUAACACAGAGAAAUUUGUGCUAAUACCGUAUGUGCCCUUCGGGGGAAAGAUUUAUCGCCAUAGGAUGUGCCCGCGUAGGACUAGCUAGUUGGUGUGGUAAUGGCGCACCAAGGCGACGAUCCUUAGCUGGUCUGAGAGGAUGACCAGCCACACUGGGACUGAGACACGGCCCAGACUCCUACGGGCGGCAGCAGUGGGGAAUAUUGGACAAUGGGCGCAAGCCUGAUCCAGCCAUGCCGCGUGAGUGAUGAAGGCCUUAGGGUUGUAAAGCUCUUUCACCCACGACGAUAAUGACGGUAGUGGGAGAAGAAGCCCCGGCUAACUUCGUGCCAGCCGCCGCCGUAAAAC